rnacentral:rRNA from 1 species
AUUGAACGCUGGCGGCAGGCCUAACACAUGCAAGUCGCACGAGUGGCGGACGGGUGAGUAACGUCUGGGAAACUGCCUGUUGGAGGGGGAUAACUCCUGGAAACGGUAGCUAAUACCGCAUACCAUCUGAUGUUCCCAGGUGGGAUUAGCGUGUUGGUGGGGUAAUGGCUCACCAAGGCGACGAUCAGUAGCUGGUCUGCGAGGAUGACCAGCCACACUGGCACUGAGACACGGUCCAGACUCCUACGGGAGGCAGCAGUGGGGAAGUUUGCACAAUGGGCGCAAGCCUGAUGCAGCCAUGCCGCGUGUCUGAAGAAGGCCUUCGGGUUGUAAAGGACUUUCAGCAGGGAGGCGUUACCCGCAGAAUAAGCACCGGCUAACUCCGUGCCAGCAGCCGCGGUAAUAC